UCACUAGGUGGCUAAAUAUUUCAGUGUGUUUAGGGAUUGAACUAUUCAGCCCUAGAAUGUUGGUAAUGGGGGGGGGGGGUAAUCAAAACCCUGAGUGAUGAGACGACAUACCUCUCACCAUUUCUUUUCUUUCGAGACGCUGUCCGAGAAUGGUUACACUCUUUUUUGCUGGAUGUCCUGAAAUUUGUCGUCCUAAAAACGGUUGGUGGAUGUUGUUCUCAACGUGCAGUGCCAAAUCAACAAGAUGCCUCUGUGGUCCCUACCAUGUUGUGAGAUGAAAUCGUGCAGAAGACAGGAAAUCUGAAAUGGUGACAAUUUACUUGAAAGACACCUUGAAUUCCUUUGUCAGUUUGGUGUUGAAGCUGUUAAUGGUGGUGAUGGCUAGUGUGGCAGUCAUUUUCCGAUUGAGAGAUCCACUGAUAUGGAGCUUCUGCAGACCUGCUGUUCAACAUCAGACUUCAAAAUACCAUGUUGGUGUCCAUUCUGUGUUGAGCUGUUGUGUGCAAAAUGGUUGGUGUUGCCUGAUGGCUGUCUGGCAUUUUGUUGGUGUGUUCUCUUGCUACUUGUACAUAUGUUGAGUUUAAUCGUACGCCGUCGUUCCAGAUCUGAUCCAUUGGUGAAGCUGAGAAGUUGCUGUAAUUCAAGACUGAUAAAUUAUUUAGAUUUAGACAAAUUAAAAAUGCAAAUCUAUUGUCCCUUCUUUUCCCUAAGUAAACAAAAAUGUCUUAUGUUGGUUAGUUGUGUGAAAACCAGGAAUGUUAUGAUGAAAUUGCAAUGAGAUUUAACUUUUCUCAGAACAAACGGAAACCCUAUCAACCUAACCGCAUUCAUAACAUUUCGCUCUUUAUACAAUAACACGGACAUGUUCAAAUAAAUAAAUUAUUAAA